ensembl:lncRNA
GGGGUCUCCAUAUUGCCUUACUGCUGCUGUAUACUCUCACAUUAAGGGCCGUUUCUUUUAUUGAGUUUGAUCUUUUAGUCCCAGGCUAGAGUCCACAAAACCGGCCCUAAAUGCUUAGUAUAUGCGAGUGUAUGUGUGUGUGUAUGUGUGUAUGUGUACAGCCUUAAGUCAUAAGUCAAAUCAACUGCAGACUUUUUUCAUACAGCUCAGUUGGUCAAGACUGCUGUUCUACUAUGAAGAAACAAAACAGCUACCCUCAGCAUUUAAAGGUAGGUGGUUUGAAUACUGUACUUAUUGUACUUACAUCUCAUUCACCCCACACAUCAGAGAAAGGCCUGUGUCAAGUAUGAAAAAGGAAUCCUCAAAACAAAAUGGAUAAGAUACCGUUAAAUUGAAUAUUUACAAGAAUAUACAGUAGAUACACUCCUUUUCAAAUGAGAUAAAGAAACAUUUUUGUGCUUUUCCAUGACAUAUUACUGCACAGCAAAUGAGUAUAUUCAUUCAGUAUGUAGCCUUUGACUUGAAGGUUCCUCUCUAUGGCAGUGAGGUGAAGGUGGCGGGGGGGGCAAUCACUUCAGUGCUAGAGUAUUACAGGAACAACUUAAUCCAAUUCAGAUUACAUUUUGUAUAGACACAGACGUUCAGUCUUACCAGCAUUUCAAGUCAAGUGUGUCAAAUGUAUGAGAGUGGCAAAGGCAAAGAGUUAUAGAAGAAAACCAACAUUCAACGGGUUAUAUGAAGGCGACGUUGUGAAGUUCCUGAUCGCUGCACACAGGAUGUAACACUGUACCUGUUUGAAGAAAUUGUACAACAUCACAAAAUCAAAUGUAAAAGGCAUAAAAUGCCUUUUACAUAAUAACAUUUAAUUUUUUUUAAAUGGCACUUGAAAUCAUGAUAUGUAACCCAAAGGUAGAGAACAUUGGCACAUUGUUUGAAGACAUAGGGAAAGGGCAUGGAAAUGGUGUGUUUAUGGUGGAUUGGACGGUAAAAAGGCAUCAACAUAUUUGCUCACGGUCAUGUCUGUAACUGUGGCUGCGUCUAGAGUAACACCAUGUAUUUUCUAUUCAGGGCAACACACUGGACCACUGUACGUAGUGUGGGAUGUGACUUAAAACAUGACCUGUCAUUGUUGUGCUGCUCCAAUGGCAACACAGAUUUCUGAGGUCUACUCACACAUGCCUUCAUAUACCAGUAGUUGUUGCUCAGAUUCACCACAGAUUGUGACUGAAACUGUGGCUUUGAUGGUUUCAUGGGGCCUCGGCUUAGUCUUUCGUCUUAUCUCUCUGACCUGUCUUUCUUCUUGACUCUGACCUGUCUUUUGUCUUAUCUCUCUGACCUGUCUUUCUUCUUGACUCUGUCCUGUCUUUUGUCUUAUCUCUCUGACCUGUCUUUCUUCUUGACUCUGUCCUGUCUUUUGUCUUAUUUCUCUAACCUGCCUUUCUUCUUGACUCUGUCCUGUCUUUUGUCUUAUCUCUCUGACCUGUCUUUCUUCUUGACUCUGUCCUGUCUUUUGUCUUAUCUCUCUGACCUGCCUUUCUUCUUGACUCUGUCCUGUCUUUCUUCUUGACUCUGUCCUGUCUUUCUCCUUGUCUUUCUGUCCUGCCUUCUUGUCUUUCUGUCCUGCCUUCUGGUCUCUCUGUCCUGCCUUCUUGUCUCUCUUUAUUUUUCUCUGUCUAUAUCCAUCCAUCUAUCCCCCUCUCCAUGUUCUUUUAAUGUAAUGAAAAAAACGCUCAUUAGACAAAUUGAGAGGUAGAAUAUAUGAUCCCAUUGUAAACUCUGGGGAAAAUGUAAAUGCAAAAUUACCACUAACAUUGAGCACGAGUCAGAAAUGUCAUUUAAAUCACAAUCACAGUGACUGCACACACACACACACAAACCAGUCAGUGCAUCUGCAUACACAGACACAGGAUGCAAGAUGCGUAGACACACACACACACAUACACACAUAUACACACACACACCCACACAC